UACGAGAGGUCCAAACGUUAUUCGGAAUUACUGGGCUUACAGAGUUCGUAGGCGGCUCUACAAGUGAGGUGUGAAAGCCCUCGGCCCAACCGAGGAACUGCGCUUCAAACUGUAGAACUAGAGGGAGAUAGAGGUGAGCAGAACUGAUGGUGGAGCGGUGAAAUGCGUUGAUAUCAUCAGGAAUACCGGAGGCGAAGGCGGCUCUCUGGGACGGUACUGACGCUGAGACGCGAAAGCGUGGGGAGCGAACAGG
rnacentral:rRNA from 1 species